rnacentral:rRNA from 1 species
AGUGAACGCUGGCGGUAGGCCUAACACAUGCAAGUCGAACGGCAGCACAGUAAGAGCUUGCUCUUACGGGUGGCGAGUGGCGGACGGGUGAGGAAUACAUCGGAAUCUACUUUUUCGUGGGGGAUAACGUAGGGAAACUUACGCUAAUACCGCAUACGCCCUACGGGUGAAAGCAGGGGAUCUUCGGACCUUGCGCGAUUGAAUGAGCCGAUGUUGGAUUAGCUAGUUGGCGGGGUAAAGGCCAACCAAGGCGACGAUCCGUAGCUGGUCUGAGAGGAUGAUCGGCCACACUGGAACGGGAACACGGUCCAGACUCCUGCGGGAGGCAGCAGUGGGGAAUAUUGGACAAUGGGCGCAAGCCUGAUCCAGCCAUACCGCGUGGGAGAAGAAGGCCUUCGGGUUGUAAAGCCCUUUUGUUGGGAAAGAAAAGCAGCAGGUUAAUACCCCGCUGUUCUGACGGUACCCAAAGAAUAAGCACCGGCUAACUUCGUG